GGGAAACCGAGCGGCUCUAAGCGCGCUCCGGCCGCCGUCUCUCUUUUAUUUUCCCUUUUUUUUUUCCCUCCUUCGGUCGUUGUUUAUUUGUUUAUUUUGCUCAAUUUGCACCUGAGAAGCUCCAGCGGCUUAAGCCGGGAAGGCAUUCUUUCUGAAAGGAGCAGGAUGGCGCCAGCCGGCUCAGUGCUUACAGACAGCUGUGGCGAGACGCAACUUAAGGAGGUUCCAGUGUCAUAAGCACGGCGGAGGCGGAGCCUGGCCGCGGCCGAGGAGGGGACCGGCGCGGCGCCUCCGCGCUGCCCCCGCGGGCCGCGCCGCGACCCCCUCCAAACCCAACUACUUUUUUUUUUUUCACCCCUAACUCUGCCUCCCUUCCCUUCCUUUUUUUUUUUUUUUUUUAAGGGGGAAAAAAGUUUUCCCGCUGGCCGCGAAGCUCCGCGAGGGGCCUCGCUGGCUGCGCGGGGCCGCGUUUGCCCGCCGAGGCGGCGCAGCAGCAGGGGCCGCGGCAGAGCGGCGGGGAGGGAGCCGGGCCGCGGCCGGGGCGGCGCCGAGCAGGUGCAGGAGGCUUCGGCGAGAAGCGCGGCCGCGUCCCGCCGUGCGAGGCCGGUGGCCUUAGAGUCGCAUAAAGGUGUUUUUUGGGG